AAUUAAGACAUGGUUGCUGUCCUUCGGAAGUUCAAAUGAGGGUGACUUUCCAGAAGUAAUGUCUAAUGGACAGCAUAUAUAAAAUUAAAGCCUAGCUGUGAGAUGGAUUCAGAGUGCUGUCUCCUGCCUUAUAAGGUGUCGCAACUGGAGCAAAGCUGGUCCCUGUUGUCCCUCUCUGUGGAGGGUCCUGCAGCCAGAGGCGUCAAGACUAGGUUUGAGGCUCAGUCUGGCUACUGGACAUAAUUCAAUUUUUAAAUACUCCAUGGCUGGCUCAAUGAGACUAGCUUCGGGAACUGUCUGGAAAUGUAAAGGAACUUGCUGCCGCACUGUGGUAUAUUCGGUUCUUGCACGCAAUCUGUUAAA